rnacentral:SRP_RNA from 1 species
UCGUGCUAGAUGGGGAGCUAGCGGUGCCCUGUAACCUGCAAUCCGCUACAGCAGGAUUGAAUUCCCACUAUAGGCUUUACUCUGUUGAGUCAGUAUGAUAAAAGUGGUGUUGAGAACUGGGUCCCAUGCAUCAGAAACUCAUGAAAUCCGUCAGGUCUGGAAGGAAGCAGCGGUAAGUGAUUAUUUCUGAGUGCCAUGGACAAACCUAAUUUGAGCUAACUAGAUUGGUACUAUCAGUAGAUUAAUUGUCGAUAGUGGGUGCACGA